GAUGAACGCUGGCGGCGUGCCUAAUACAUGCAAGUCGAACGGAGACGUUAUAGCAAUAUAGUGUCUUAGUGGCGAACGGGUGAGUAACGCGUUGGUGACCUGCCCCGAAGAGGGGGAUAACAGCUCGAAAGAGCUGCUAAUACCCCAUGUGGUCGUGAAGAUUAGAGGCGUUACGACUAAAGGAGUAAUCCGCUUCGGGAGGGGCCUGCGUCCCAUCAGCUAGUUGGUAGGGUAAUGGCCUACCAAGGCGACGACGGGUAGGGGACCUGAGAGGGUGUCCCCCCACACUGGCACUGAAACACGGGCCAGACACCUACGGGUGGCAGCAGUAGGGAAUAUUGCACAAUGGGCGAAAGCCUGAUGCAGCAACGCCGCGUGCGCGAUGAUGGCCUUCGGGUCGUAAAGCGCUUUUUGGGGAGAUGAGGAAGGACAGUAUCCCCAGAAUAAGGUUCGGCUAACUACGUGCCAGCAGCCGCAGUAAAAC
rnacentral:rRNA from 1 species